rnacentral:rRNA from 1 species
AUUGAACGCUGGCGGCAGGCCUAACACAUGCAAGUCGAACGGAGUGGCGGACGGGUGAGUAAUGUCUGGGAAACUGCCUGAUGGAUGGGGAUAACUCCUGGAAACGGGCGCUAAUCCCGCAUACUUUCAGAUGAGCCCAGGUCGGAUUAGCUAGUUGGUGGGGUAAAGGCACACCAAGGCGACGAGCCUUAACUGGUCUGUGAGGAUGAUCAGUCACACGGGAACUGAUACACGGCCCAGACUCCUACGGGAGGCCGCAGUGGGGAAUAUUGGACAAUGGGCGAAAGCCUGAUCCAGCCAUGCCGCGUGUGUGAAGAAGGUCUUCGGAUUGUAAAGCACUUUAAGUUGGGAGGCGUUACCAACAGAAUAAGCACCGGCUAACUCCGUGCCAGCAGCCGCGGUAAUUC